rnacentral:rRNA from 1 species
CUGGCCGUAAACGAUGGGUACUAGGUGUGGGAGGUAUCGACCCCUUCCGUGCCGGAGUUAACGCAAUAAGUACCCCGCCUGGGGAGUACGGCCGCAAGGUUGAAACUCAAAGGAAUUGAC